AUUGAACGCUAGCGGGAUGCUUAACACAUGCAAGUCGAACGAGUGGCGGACGGGUGAGUAAUAUAUCGGAACGUGCCCAGUAGCGGGGGAUAACUACUCGAAAGAGUGGCUAAUACCGCAUAACAUUGGAGGGGGCGUUAGCGGAUGAGCGAGUUGGGGGGGGAAAGGCUCACCAAGGAAACGAUCCUUAGCCGGUUUGAGAGGGCGACCAGCCACACUGGGACUGAGACACGGCCCAGACUCCUACGGGAGGCAGCAGUGGGGAAUUUUGGACAAUGGGCGAAACCCUGAUCCAGCCAUCCCGCGUGUAUGAGAAGGCCUUCGGGUUGUAAAGUACUUUUGGCAGAGAAGCGUUAUCUGCAGAAUAAGCACCGGCUAACUACGUGCCAGCAGCCGCGGUAAUUC
rnacentral:rRNA from 1 species